UUUGUGCUCGCUCGCCUCGCUUGCGUUUUUUUGGUGUGGUCGCUUUGCUGGCCGCGUAUCGCGAAUCUAUAAUUUUCAAUGAUCGAAUAUUCAUUGUGGCAUUAGUAUUAUUCCUUAAAUUACUGACGAAAUUGUAUUUUAAUUGAUAAUUAGGUAUGUCGCGAUAUGGAGAUUGUAAAGUUUACGUGGGAGAUUUGGGAAACAAUGCGAGCAAACCGGAGUUGGAAGAUGCAUUUUCGUACUACGGUCCAUUGAGAAAUGUAUGGGUAGCUCGAAAUCCACCUGGGUUUGCCUUCGUUGAAUUUGAAGAUCCUCGUGACGCCGAAGAUGCAGUCCGUGGUUUGGAUGGUCGGACAGUAUGUGGACGUCGUGCACGCGUUGAAAUGUCAAAUGGAAGCCGAGGACAUGGGGGACGCGGUCCUCCGCCAAGGUCUCGUCCGCCUUCCCGGCCUUACGACGACCGAUGUUAUGACUGCGGUGACAGAGGUCACUACGCCAGGGACUGCACACGACGUCGCCGUCGCAGGUUAUCAUUGGCCUGUGCGCCGAGAAUGAACUCGUCAGUGUCUGCACUUCUUAUUGUCAACGCUACGUAGUUUUCACUUCGCGGCGUGUACUCCGCUUGAGUUGGCCGCAUCGGUAACUUCGCUCUGCGAACUACGUAGCUACGUCCUACGUGCACGCUCCACUUGUUGAGAACUCCAUUGAGAUUUUGUUCACUCUGCGCAUCGCAACCUACGUCUAUUGUAAUCACUGCGUGCACUCACCGCUCCCGCUCCCGACGCCGCUCGCGCUCCCGCUCGCCGCGCUCUGCGUCUCGCUCUCGCAGCCGCUCUCGCUCUCGCUCCCGCUCCAAGGGACGCUCCGCCUCGCGAUCCAGGUCUCGGUCGCCAUCCAAGGACUCCAAG